CGGAGGCAGCAGUGGGGAAUAUUGCACAAUGGGAGGAAUCCUGAUGCAGCGACGCCGCGUGCGGGAUGAAGGGGCUUAGCCUCGUAAACCGCUGUCGGAGGGGACGAAUGGUACAUUUGAUGUACUGAGACGGUACCCUCAAAGGAAGGAUCGGCUAACUACGUGCCAGCAGCCGCGGUAAUACGUAGGAUCCGAGCGUUGUCCGGAAUUACUGGGUGUAAAGGGUGCGUAGGCGGACUUGUGCGUCAGAGGUGAAAUCCACGGGCUUAACCCGUGGGGUGCCUUUGAUACGGCAAGUCUUGAGUGCGAGAGAGGUGGGUGGAAUUCCUGGUGUAGCAGUGAAAUGCGUAGAUAUCAGGAGGAACACCGAUGGCGAAGGCAGCCCACCGGCUCGCAACUGACGCUGAGGCACGAAAGCGUGGGGAUCAAACAGGAUUAGAAACCCUAGUAGUCCG
rnacentral:rRNA from 1 species